CUUGGUCAUUUAGAGGAAGUAAAAGUCGUAACAAGGUUCCGUAGGUGAACCUGCGGAAGGAUCAUUAAUGAAUUUUGAAAGGGGUUGUAGCUGGCCUUUUAGGAGGCAUGUGCACGCCCUGCUCUUCCAUUCUUACCCCUGUGCACACUCUGUAGGUCGGUUUGAGCGGCUCUCUCUAACGGGGGAUGCUGUUUGGCCUUCCUAUGUUUUAUAACAAACUCUGUAAUGUCAUAGAAUGUCAUCGCGUAUAACGCAUUAUAAUAUAACUUUCAGCAACGGAUCUCUUGGCUCUCGCAUCGAUGAAGAACGCAGCGAAAUGCGAUAAGUAAUGUGAAUUGCAGAAUUCAGUGAAUCAUCGAAUCUUUGAACGCACCUUGCGCUCCUUGGUAUUCCGAGGAGCAUGCCUGUUUGAGUGUCAUGGAAUUCUCAACCCUCUUAUCCUUGUGGUGAGAUUGGGUUGGAUUUGGAGGUUUAUGCUGGCUUGUAAUGAGUCGGCUCCUCUUGAAUGCAUUAGCUUGGACCUUUGCGGACCAGCUUUUCGGUGUGAUAAUUGUCUACCGCCGUGGGCUGUGAUGCUGUUUAACAUGCUUCGGCGUGUUGGGGUUCUGCUUCUAAUGGUCCCUUUGGUGGGACAACUUACUUUGACCUCUGACCUCAAAUCAGGUAGGAUUACCCGCUGAACUUAAGCAUAUCAAUAAGCGGAGGAAAAGAAACUAACAAGGAUUCCCCUAGUAACUGCGAGUGAAGCGGGAAAAGCUCAAAUUUAAAAUCUGGCGGUCUUUGGCCGUCCGAGUGUAGUCUGAGAAGUGCUUUCCGCGCUGGACCGUGUACAAGUCUCCUA
rnacentral:rRNA from 1 species